UUUGCUGGGAAUGUUUGCUCUGCCACAGGGAAGGCUUUCAGAGAUUUGCUCACAUUCUCUAUGACCCUGCAGCUGGCUCCUAACUUCCUGAUGACAACCACAAUUGUAAUUCAUUCCAAGAGAUUGACUGCUGUGGAGACAGACCACCACCACCACCAUCAUCGUUAUCGUCAUCAUCAUGUUGCUUUUAGCUCACAGGAGCCUCAUAAAACCCUAUGAGCUUCUCUGUGUCAUAUCCCCGACCACAUUGGGUUUUCAUUGUCUAUGUGUCCAUCUCCCUAUUAUGGACGGUGAAUUCCAGGGCAGGGACAAGUCUGCCACAGAGGAGUCCUCAGCAGAUGUCAGCCACACGAAUGAGUGUGUGAGGCAAAGGAGUACCAGGAGCCCAGCCCUUACCCCAGACAACCCCUCCCCGUUCACUCCUACUCUGAGCUCCAGUCUCUGCCAUACCCCAGCUCUUGGAUUUGGCCUUUGGAUCAAGUUCUUCUGGCAAUGAAGCCUCACCUUUCCCUCAACUAACUCUGACCUGGCCUCCCCUGCUCCUGACUAACCUCAAGGAUGCUGAGUAUCCUUCAGCCUAACAGCUCCAGAAGCUGAACUCCAGCCCUGUGAGCCCCAGCUGCAAACAGGCCUCUGGCCAGAAGCUUAGCCAGGCUACCCUAGAGUAGCCAAAGGGUUGGCAUGCCCUCUGGGCAGCCUCUGAACUGGCACUGACGAUGCAGGAGUGGACAAGGUAGUCUACUUGGGUCCUGAGCCUGCAAGGUAGUUGAGACAGAUCUCAAAGGAGAGUGGGCACAGUCAGAAAGGAAAAAGUGGCUCAGUGU